CGUGGGCUCUGCAGAGCAGGCACCUUGUUUAACCCAUCCCUGGGCAGAGUGAAAGCCACAGCCAACGAUGGACAGAAGAGACACAUGAAGGUGGUGACGCACUGAACAGGUUGCCCAAGGAGGCUGUGGAUGCCCCAUCCCUGGAGGCAUUCAAGGCCAGGCUGGAUGUGGCUCUGGGCAGCCUGGGCUGCUGGUUGGCAGCCCUGCACACAGCAGGGGGUUGGAACUGAUGAGCAUUGUGGUCCUUUUCAACCCAGGCCAUUCUAUGAUUCUAUGACAAUGGCCCCUUCCAACCCACUGCAAUUGGGGUGGCUCUGUGGACAUCACUGUGGCACUGGGAGAUGACACUGCCCUCCACCACGCUUUGGGAUGCCCUCUGGAGACCCAGAGGCUCUGCUUCUUAUUACCACGAACAAACUCAAAGGCUGUGAUGCAGGAAAUCAACGGCGCUGUUUUCUUCCACCUUUCAACUGAAUCCCACGUUUGGUUAUUUCUUAAGAUGGGCAAAACUCUGCUGCGACGCCACGAACGUAACGUCAGGGAAAUGGAGUGUUAAAAAGUGGACUGAAGCACUUGCAUGAAAUCAAUCCGUGCAGGGAAUGGCUUUGGAAGACCGAACUCUCGAGGUCACUCCACUCUCAGAACCUGACCACAGCACUGCCAAAGCAAUGAGAGACGAGCACAAACCAAACCCUUAUCCUCAACCUCGGAGCAUUCUCCAAAACAACAAACAAACCCAGCAUCACUUAACCAGCUGGUUUAAAGAGCAGCUCUUUAAAAGGAUAGAAGAAACAAGCUCAUUAAGCUGAAAAGCAUUUUCCG
rnacentral:lncRNA from 1 species